rnacentral:rRNA from 1 species
GAUGAACGCUAGCUACAGGCUUAACACAUGCAAGUCGAGGGGUAACAAGAGAAAAGCUUGCUUUUCUUGUUGACGACCGGCGCACGGGUGAGUAACGCGUAUCCAACCUGCCUAUAACUAGGGAAUAACCUUGCGAAAGUAAGACUAAUACCCUAUGAUUUCCUUUGAUGACAUCAGAUUAGGAAUAAAGAUUUAUCGGUUAUAGAUGGGGAUGCGUCUGAUUAGCUUGUUGGCGGGGUAACGGCCCACCAAGGCAACGAUCAGUAGGGGUUCUGAGAGGAAGGUCCCCCACAUUGGAACUGAGACACGGUCCAAACUCCUACGGGAGGCAGCAGUGAGGAAUAUUGGUCAAUGGGCGGAAGCCUGAACCAGCCAAGUAGCGUGCAGGAUGACGGCCCUAUGGGUUGUAAACUGCUUUUAUACAGGAAUAAAGUUAGCCACGUGUGGUUAUUUGUAGGUACUGUAUGAAUAAGGACCGGCUAAUUCCGUGCCAGCCGCCGCAGUAA